rnacentral:rRNA from 1 species
CCAAGGAGUCUAACAUGUGCGCGAGUCAUGAGGUUUUGCGAAACCUAAAGGCGCAAUGAAAGUGAAGGCCGGCUCGCGUCGGUCGAGGUAGGAUCCCUCCCCUCGGGGCUGGGCGCACUACCGGCCCGUCUCGGCAGGUGCUGUCCUGGAGGCGGAGCAGGAGCGUACACGUUGGGACCCGAAAGAUGGUGAACUAUGCCUGAGUAGGACGAAGCCAGAGGAAACUCUGGUGGAAGUCCGUAGCGAUUCUGACGUGCAAAUCGAUCGUCAAACUUGGGUAUAGGGGCGAAAGACUAAUCGAACCAUCUA